ACGCACGCUGGCGGCGUGCUUCACACCUGCAGGUCGAACGGAAAGGCCCCUUUGGGGGUACUCGAGUGGCGAACGGGUGAGUAACACGUGAGUAACCUGCCCUUGACUUCGGGAUAACUUCAGGAAACUGGGGCUAAUACCGGAUAGGAAUCCUUGCUGCAUGGUGGGGGUUGGAAAGCUUCGGCGGUUUUGGAUGGACUCGCGGCUUAUCAGCUUGUUGGUGGGGUAGUGGCUUACCAAGGCUUUGACGGGUAGCCGGCCUGAGAGGGCGACCGGCCACAUUGGGACUGAGAUACGGCCCAGACUCCUACGGGAGGCAGCAGUGGGGAAUAUUGCACAAUGGGCGGAAGCCUGAUGCAGCAACGCCGCGUGCGGGAUGACGGCCUUCGGGUUGUAAACCGCUUUCAGCAGGGGCGAAGCUUGUGGUGACGGUACCUGCAGAAGAAGCACCGGCUAACUACGUG
rnacentral:rRNA from 1 species